AACCUAACUUUCAUGAAACACCGGUAAGCUUUGCAGACUUUAUCAAAAACUGGACCAGGAGCAGAAGAAGUCAAGUAGACUCUCUGAGGACAUAAAAAACAAAGGAAGCCCAAAUCCCAUAAAACCCUCUUGGCUGGACUGAUUACAGUUUACUACAGCAAAAAGCGGGGAAAAAGAGAGGAUACAAGAACUUUUUUCGGCUCUUCCAUAGUUCAUGGAUAAUCUCCUCGAAAUGUUUCAUGCAGACGGCUCUGCCCAGUAUUUGGGCUGUAAAAACAUCGUGUCAGACAGUUUGGAAGACGUUGUAAACAACCUAAAUGUCCGUCAAAAGAAAAUGAGUAGGUAAGAAAGCUGAGGUCACAAAAAGGAAAGUGACUGGUCCAAGUUGAAAUUGAUCGUAAUUAGCAGAGCCAGAAGUUGAAACCAGUUCUGUUUUAUUAUAAAUCCACACCACACUUUGGAUCACACAUCAUCAGUGGCCCAAACUCUCAGCUCUUGCAAAUAAAAAUAAAUCAACAGUUU
rnacentral:lncRNA from 10 species